AAUGAGCUAAACUAACUUAGAAACACACAGACAUUUCCUUCUGGGUACACCCACCUCUUAUGGGUGCCCUCCAAGUCUUCUGGGUCUAGGGUACCAAGUGCUGCUUCAUAGAACAUCAGGAGGGCAUUUCAUGACAGGAUUUUGUUUGUUUGAGCAUCUUUCACUUGAGGGAAUUCAUCUCCAAUCACCCAGAUGCCCCUAUUUUUCCAACUGACAUUUCUCCAGCUCAGAAGAGAUACCCAAACAAACAGAAGACAGGUGACCACUGCCCAAAACUGUUAGCAAGAUUGUCAUACACAUGGGCUAAAGGGGUCACUCUAGAAAAAGUUGCUAAGGUCUGGGAAAUCAUCCCAGGUCAGUUUCUCCUUCCCCAAGCAGUAUUCCAUCAGCAUCAGCAAGUGUUGCUCCUGGCUUCCGACGUACACAUCCUAACAAGGCUGCCCUACCAUGAACAGAGGUGCUACACUCCAGCGUGGAGGCUGGAAGAGGCAGUUACAGAGAGAGAGUCUGCGAGUGUGUUGAAGAACAGAAGCCUAGAACUGGAAGGGGAUGCUCAUCAUAUGAACUUCCCAAAUCCCUCUAAGCAACUGGUUUGUUUCAGAGACGACAAAUUCUAGAGCACAGGGACACUUGGAGGACAGCGGACUAUCCGGCCGCUCCCACAGUGUGGAGCCACAGCCCUGACACAAGCUUUGUUUCCAGCAAAAUGAGCAUCGUCAAGGGUCCUCUGAGGAAAGAGCCUUGGCAUCCAGGAGCAGGACUGUGAGGAUGCUGUGAUGAAGGCAAAGCCAGAAUGCACCGGCAGAGGCCAUCGAUGCCCAUAACAACAUGGCUUCCCAAUGGCAGCGUGAAGUCCACUGAUAAUUAUGGCACCUCUGAGUAAAUGUGGAAAUAUAGUCAGAUCUCUGACCCAAAUCCCUUCCUGGUUUCAUUAAAACGGUCAUUCU